UGUGAGCUCCGCUCACUUCCUGAUCAUUGUUGCGCCACGAGGUGAGAUCUCACAUGGAACCCCCGACCGAGGAAGAUUGACAGUCAUCUUGUCUUUCUUCCAUUUUGUAAUAAUUGCACCAACAGUUGUUGCCGUCUCACCAAGCUGCUUGUCUACUGUCCUGUAGCCCAUCCCAGCAU